UGCAUACACAUUCCCUGAAUACACAUUUUCCACAACUUAUUUUCAAUUGACAACCUUCAAAAUUUCUCUGAUUCUUAGACAUCUACAAGACUUAGUCAUCCCUCUAAUGAAUUGUCUACUGAGGAAAAGGCACUGCUGCUGUCUUCCUUUCUUGAAGGCUCUACUGAGAAAAGAGCAGCUUCAGAGUAAAUUGAGCUCUUGCAGGAGCCUGACCACCAGAGGCUGCUGAAGACAGCACUAGUCAGCCCAGGUUAUAUUUCACUACCAAGUCUUUCUUGUGACAUCAGAACUUCCUUGGAGAAGGAAAUCCUAUGCUUUGAAAUGCUAUCCUCCAGAGAUAUUGGGAAAAGCCCUUCCAGAAGUCUGGCAUUCAGAGAAUAAGAUGUUACACCAUGACAGCAAAAUACUACCUUGAAGAUCUGAAGAGACCAAAGAAUGCAUCUCAAUGGAUUAAGAGGCUGGGCUUUGAUGGAACUGGC